GUGGUGGGUCCCCAAGGCCGUUUCUAGACAAUAUUGCUCGCAGUGAGAGCAAUAUAAAUGCCCCCCGCAGAGUGAGGUCAUGCUGCAAAAAGGGGGUGUGGAUUAACUGCUAGGGGCAUAGCCAAAAAAGUCUUUGAGAAUUACUUUAAUGGAGGACAGUAUGGGUGAGCUGGGGGCACAGGUAAUGUAGUUAGCAGAAAUCCCUCUACUGUGUGCUAAAGAGCCACAUAGCCCAACAAGGAGAAUGGAAAGUAAUUCCCAAAUAUAACAGGAGGUCUCAUCCAGGGGUCACUGAGGCUGCAGUCAGUGUCUAGGUGAUGUUUUCCCUGCUGCUUUUCAGCUGGCCAACGAUACCGAAAGAUCCCUGGAGAGUGUCUGGGACGCCAUAGAACCGCACAGGCAGAGUGCUGCAGCGUGAAGCAUUUCCAGGCACACAGCCGGAGGGAGCUGGGGAAGCUGUAUGCUCCAAGCAGAGGGGAAUGCUCCGGUGACACAGGCAGGACGAGAUCUGGAGUCAGAAACCAGUGGUGGGGAGCAGCAGUCAGCAAGUCAAGGUCAGCGUGAUAACUCCCCACCAAACUGUAGACAGAUGCUCCAGGAAGCUGCGGCUGUCACCCGGGAGCAGAGAGGGGAAGUAACAGCACGUGUUGGCAGGGGCGUGGCAGGGGGCCCUGAGAUUAUUUAUGGUGCUGGUUCAGCGAAUCCAAUUUAUCACCCAUUGGAAACAGUAAUUGUUCCAUAGUAUUCCCUUUGUUCAUAUGCUUCAUUGGUCCAAUAUAAUCGUUGGUAACCAUAUAUAAAGUUCCUGUUAGUGACCUUCAUUGAUUGAAGAUUUUUAUCCGAUUUUAUUAAUUCUGUAGUAAUUUCCCACAUGGAAAACCGAUCUGUUUUCAGACCACAGUAUUUCAAACCGGCACUUCUAGCGACAUACUCCUGUAUAUCAUAUUUGCCUAUAAAUAUUGAUUCUUGCCCCUGAAUAAGUCCUUUGGGACGACGUUGGAUUCUGUGUCAUUUUGUUUUUCAUUUACCAUCAUCUGAAUGAAUAUCUGCCAAAAGCUAUUUGUCCUGUUCAUGUUGGAUCAAUCAGUACAUCAAUGUAAAAUCUGCUGUUAAUCUGAGCUUAACUGCUCUUAUGUGUGGUUCUGUAAAAUAAAUGUUAUUUAUCUAAA